rnacentral:rRNA from 1 species
GUCGAACGGUAGAGGGGGCAACCCCUCGAGAGUGGCGAACGGGUGAGUAAUAUAUCGGAACGUGCCCAGUCGUGGGGGAUAACGUAGCGAAAGUUACGCUAAUACCGCAUACGAUCUACGGAUGAAAGCGGGGGAUCGCAAGACCUCGCGCGAUUGGAGCGGCCGAUAUCAGAUUAGGUAGUUGGUGAGGUAAAGGCUCACCAAGCCAACGAUCUGUAGCUGGUCUGAGAGGACGACCAGCCACACUGGAACUGAGACACGGUCCAGACUCCUACGGGAGGCAGCAGUGGGGAAUUUUGGACAAUGGACGCAAGUCUGAUCCAGCCAUUCCGCGUGCAGGAUGAAGGCCCUCGGGUUGUAAACUGCUUUUGUACGGAACGAAAAGGUCUCUCUUAAUACGGGGGGCUCAUGACGGUACCGUAAGAAUAAGCACCGGCUAACUACGUGCCAGCAGCCGCGGUAAUACGUAGGGUGCAAGCGUUAAUCGGAAUUACUGGGCGUAAAGCGUGCGCAGGCGGUUAUAUAAGACAGAUGUGAAAUCCUCGGGCUCAACCUAGGAACUGCCUUUGUGACUGCAUAGCUAGAGUACGGUAGAGGGGGAUGGAAUUCCGCGUGUAGCAGUGAAAUGCGUAGAUAUGCGGAGGAACACCGAUGGCGAAGGCAAUCCCCUGGACCUGUACUGACGCUCAUGCACGAAAGCGUGGGGAGCAAACAGGAUUAGAUACCCUGGUAGUCCACGCCCUAAACGAU